GCCUACGACCAUCUCACCCUGAAUGCGCCCGAUCUCGUCUGAUCUAGGAAGCUAAGCACAGUCGACGACCUGGUUAGUACUUGGAUGGGAGACUGGCCUGGGAAUACCAGGUGUUGUAGGAU
rnacentral:rRNA from 1 species